ensembl:lncRNA
AAAACACUGGAACUGUCAGAAGACAUCAGCUUCUCUUUCUUGACUGUGGUAAGGAUAUAUAUGAUCUUACUUAAUAACAAAUCUAUGUGUGGCAAAAUGAAAAUAAUUGAUGUUGUACCUGUUUCUCUCAAAACAAAGUAAAAGUGAGUAAUUGUGCAUUUUUCAUGGACAUGAAAAUUACGACAGUGAAGCCACCAGAUCACCACCGUUCUCCACAUCAUCAUGGGAGUCAUGACUGUGUCUGUUUUCUGCAUCCUCAUCUUCCUGGUGACUGGGGGUUCUGCAAUUCCAGGCCAGAAUUAUUGUAAAUCUGGGUUUUCUCAACCAAACCCUUACUCACAGAUUUGCUACCUUGCGGUCUCAGAGUUAAAAUCUUGGGCUAGCGCACAGGAGCUAUGUCGUCAAAAAGGUGGAUACCUAGCUUCUAUUGAGAACAACGAUCAGUUAGAAUAUGCUUAUGAGAUUACACCAGACGGAUAUUCCUGGGUUAACGGGAAUUCUCUGUCCGAAUUUAUCCAGGAGAACUGGGUGCCGGGUGAUGAGCCAGGUUGGACAAAUGGUCACUGCUUGACAUUGGUGAACACCUAUGAUGGAAAAGGCUUUAGGGCAAUUAGUUGUUUAGAAACAGAAAACACUGCCAACGUUCUCUGCGAGGCCGAUGUUAUCUACUGAAGAGUCCACUCAGAGAACGCAAAGGGAUCUUGUUUUUGUACUAUCGCAUGCACACUUUUACUUUAAGUAAAAAUACCAAAAGAAAAUACAUUUGAUGUAUUCAAUGGCUACCCACAUUAUUUAAUCAGUUGUGACUGUUUUACUUUUUCUUUUUUCACAAUGGAAGUCCCUGUAAAAUAUAAUAAAUGACUUUAUUUUUCUUUCUUUUUAAAAAUAUUUUAAUAUUUCUACACUAUGAAGUACACACUGAAAUUGUGAACAUUAUAAUAAUUUCCCGUUUGAGUAAAAGCAGUUUGACAAAGAUGCAUGGAAUUGGGGAUUGGGGAUUUAUUAGCCAUGUACGGAUUAUUUAAAAAAAUACUAUUACAAAGAAUGCAUGUUUGUUUUGACACAAUACCAUUAUUGUGUUAACAGUAAAUUGUUAUUCAGAACAUUUAAUUAGUAUGUUGUAAAUUGUGUCUUGUUCAUUCAUCAUUGCUUUCUUGCCUCUUUUUCAAUAAAGACUUUCUGAAAUUAUUAAACUCUUGGGUUUUUCCAGAUUUUUUUGUGUGUCACAAAGCAAAGUUGGUAGAGUCUUAUUCAAAUAGACUAAUGGCUCUAAUUGCGGCCAUUGAUGUUUACCAAAUAUUGACUAAAGGGGGUGAAUACUUAUGCAAUCAAUUAAUUUAUGUUUUGUAUUUGUAAAUCCUUUUGUCAUUUUAUUUCACACUUUAAUAUAAUGGAUUUCUUUGUGUUGAUCAGUGACAAAACACUCUAAUUAAUCCUGAUUUCAUGUUAUAAUCUAAUAAAAUGUGUGUGGUCCAAUGCUUUUGAGAGUCACUGCCCAUACAAAUACUGCACAUUUGUUAUUCUAACAUUGUUUUGAAUUUGAGGAAAUGUAAUUAACAAACUAUUAAAAUGUACAAGAAAAAGGCAACAACAAUACAACUUCAAUAUGUUUGUCUAAUAGUUUUGUAGUUGGUCUUAAAUAUGUUUUCAUGGACAUAUUGAAGCAAUUCUAAUUAUUUUCAAAUGAUUGUACUGACCAUCUCACUGUUAUAUUUGGAAUGUCAGCAGCAGUUCAAAAAAUACAUGUAAAGAUGAGGACGGGUUCACCACUCUGUCAAAGAUUACACAGGCA